ensembl:ncRNA lncRNA:CR43805 long non-coding RNA:CR43805
GGCUGACAAGUUGCCAAUCAGACCGAGUGCCAAAAACGUGGGCAAACUGCAGGCUAAAACUACUAUUCGCAGAAUGGUACAUAGGGCGGUAGUAUCGCAGACUCAAAACGGAGUGCUAUUUAAGUAAAAGCUGAAAAGCACAGACAGAAGCCAGUCGGCAAACUAAAAUUCCCCUUCGCCAGAGACCGUUUUUCUUGCCUAUGCUCACAAAUGCAUCUGUCUUGCCCAAAAACCCGCAGACAUGCAGGGAAAAGGGAGAUUCAGGAUCCCAAAACUAAUCACCAAUUAGGGAUGGCAUAGAAAGAUGAAUGCUGUUCAGUUAUUCAAUUUAAGCUGUAAAGCUUCUUUACGGAGAUGUGAAAACUAAUAUAAGCAUGUUCUUCAAAGCUUAAAAUAUUUUGAUUAGCUACGCAAACUCGGUUACUAAUGUAAGUGCAAUCACGCUCACAUCUCCAACUCAUUCGCACUCCAGCUCGCAGAUAACGUAGCCAAAAAAAAAAUAGCCCAGGCAAAAGAAAACCAGCAUAGAAAUAGACCAAAGGAUAGCAGAGCGAAAAAAAGGAGACUGGAAGAAAUUCGGUGUGUUCUUUGGAGAUUUGGCAAGUAAAGUUGCUCGCUCAUGCGAAGAGCCGCAAAUGUGUGCAAUGGGCACAAGUUGCGAGGUGGGCCAGAGGAAGACAUCCUUUUUCCCUGUUUUCAGACUUUUUCAAAUGCUCUCUUUCCCAGUUUCGGGUGAAAAUUUCUAGGUAAUUUCGCGAAUAAAAAAACGUGGAAAAUGUUUGGUGUUUAGAGUAACUGACAGGUGCAUAGCGCUUGUGUGUGUGUGUCCGGUGGGCAGAAGCGGGAAAUGUGUGGGUGUGUUUGUUUUGUGGCCGGCACAUGGCGAUGAAACAUAUGGGCGGGUGGCGAAAAUCGGAUGAGGAUACAGAAAAAUAAAGUAAUUGAAUUUUCAUAGUGCACAGAGCACAGAGAACUUGCAGAUUCGGUUGUUGUUUGCGUUGUGCACGGCACUUGCUACUUUUAAUGCGUGGAUUGUCUUCUUGCAACAACCUUUGCUUUCAUAAAACGAGGCAAGUAAACUAAUUUCGAUUGCGGGAGUCGUUGUACAAUCAAAAUGUAUAUUGUAUGUAAAUAAAGUUCGAGGCAAGGACAAAGCAUGUUAAAAAAAAUUACGCGCUGGUACGAAAAUUUAUUUCUUUGUUUUAACUCUUAUGCAUGGUAAACUGAUUGAAGGGACAUUAAAGCCGCUUUUGUCUACGAGAUUAACCAACUUUUAAUUACGUAACAAACAGCAGGGAUCCAGUAAAAAUGAUGGUUUUAAUGGUCUGAUAAAUGUCAUUCACGUGAUUAUUGACAUUAACGUUUUUCUUUGUUUUUUUGGUGACCCCAGCCGGGCACAAUGACAAUCUAGCGGUAAUGCCGUUGGUGUGGUAGAAAUUCGCGGGCCUACCAAGAAGCCGCAGCGUUUGUGGUCCACCACAAGCGGAUGUGCGGCCUUUGGCCAAAAUGCCAAUAGCCAUUUCCCUCCGCACACGUAUACAUAUAUACAUUCCCUCGCCUCGCAGGAUGUACGUUAAACUGGGGUAAAUGUUUAUAAAUAGGCUGCGGUAGCCGUCGAAAUUUAACAGUGAUAGCAGCUCCAUUCGGUGGUGCAUAAACCACUUCUGGCAGUGGCGAGGCUCUCGUGGUUUAGUGUUCAUUUAUUCC